GCACCCUUAGCUCAGUUGGCUAGAGCGCGCCCUUCACACGGGCGAGGCCGCAGGUUCGAGCCCUGCAGGGUGCACCA
rnacentral:tRNA from 1 species